UGGGGAAUUUUGGACAAUGGGCGAAAGCCUGAUCCAGCAAUGCCGCGUGUGUGAAGAAGGCCUUCGGGUUGUAGAGCACUUUUGUCCGGAAAGAAAUCCUUGGCUCUAAUACAGUCGGGGGAUGACGGUACCGGAAGAAUAAGCACCGGCUAACUACGUGCCAGCAGCCGCGGUAAUACGUAGGGUGCAAGCGUUAAUCGGAAUUACUGGGCGUAAAGCGUGCGCAGGCGGUUUGCUAAGACCGAUGUGAAAUCCCCGGGCUCAACCUGGGAACUGCAUUGGUGACUGGCAGGCUAGAGUAUGGCAGAGGGGGGUAGAAUUCCACGUGUAGCAGUGAAAUGCGUAGAGAUGUGGAGGAAUACCGAUGGCGAAGGCAGCCCCCUGGGCCAAUACUGACGCUCAUGCACGAAAGCGUGGGGAGCAAACAGGAUUAGAUACCCUGGUAGUCCACGCCCUAAACGAUGUCAACUAGUUGUUGGGGAUUCAUUUCCUUAGUAACGUAGCUAACGCGUGAAGUUGACCGCCUGGGGAGUACGGUCGCAAGAUUAAAACUCAAAGGAAUUGACGGGGU
rnacentral:rRNA from 1 species